UUUAACAGGUUUUAAAAAUGCUCUAACAAAGUUUAAUAUUGACCCACUUCCUCCGGAGAGGUGAAUCUGCUUAAUCUGCUUGUAAUCCCACCACUGGGGGCCUGAACAGGAGGACAGUGAGUUUAAUAUCAGCAGGGUCCACAGCAUAGAGACCCCGGCUCAACAACAACAGCAAAACAUGAUGAUGAUGAUGAUGAUGAUGAUGAUGAUGAUAUUGUUUUCAAGAGCUGUUUGAACUGGAGGAUUUUGCCAGAUGCAGUUUGUCUAGGCCUGCCCUGUUGUUCUUUGCUCCAUCAUUCCUUACUCUGGCUGGUUCCUACAACAUGAGGGUAAAGGAACAUUCUAUCUGCUGUGGGGAACAUCCAGGAAUUCUCCUGCCAAUGGAUGCCUGUUUCUUAAAACAAAAUAAAACCAGAAAAGACAA